GCAGUCGAGGGGCUAAUUCUGCUUUCGGGCAGGAACGACCGGCGAACGGGCUGCGCUAACGCGUAUGCAACCUACCCACAACUGGGGGAUAGCCCGGAGAAAUUCGGAUUAAUACCUCAUAAUGCAGGGGUACCGCAUGGUACUAUUAGCUAAAGAUUUAUCGGUUGUGGAUGGGCAUGCGUCUGAUUAGUUAGUUGGUGAGGUAACGGCUCACCAAGGCGACGAUCAGUAGGGGGUCUGAGAGGAUGAUCCCCCACACUGGUACUGAGAUACGGACCAGACUCCUACGGGAGGCAGCAGUAGGGAAUAUUGGUCAAUGGGCGCAAGCCUGAACCAGCCAUGCCGCGUGCAGGAUGACGGCCUUCUGGGUUGUAAACUGCUUUUAUCAGGGAAGAAAACGGCCAUGCGUGGCAGAUUGACGGUACCUGAAGAAUAAGCACCGGCUAACUCCGUGCCAGCAGCCGCGGUAAUACGGAGGGUGCAAGCGUUGUCCGGAUUUAUUGGGUUUAAAGGGUGCGUAGGCGGAUUAUUAAGUCAGUGGUGAAAGUUUACGGCUCAACCGUAAAAGUGCCAUUGAUACUGGUAGUCUUGAGUACAGUAGAGGUAGGCGGAAUUUAUGGUGUAGCGGUGAAAUGCAUAGAUACCAUAAAGAACACCGAUAGCGAAGGCAGCUUACUAUACUGAGACUGACGCUGAGGCACGAAAGCGUGGGGAGCGAACAGGAUUAGAUACC
rnacentral:rRNA from 1 species